rnacentral:rRNA from 1 species
ACUUUUAUCGCAUGGUAGAAGUAUCAAAAGCUCCGGCGGUACAGGAUGGACCCGCGUCUGAUUAGCUAGUUGGUAAGGUAACGGCUUACCAAGGCGACGAUCAGUAGCCGACCUGAGAGGGUGAUCGGCCACAUUGGAACUGAGACACGGUCCAAACUCCUACGGGAGGCAGCAGUGGGGAAUAUUGCACAAUGGGCGAAAGCCUGAUGCAGCAACGCCGCGUGAGCGAUGAAGGCCUUCGGGUCGUAAAGCUCUGUCCUCAAGGAAGAUAAUGACGGUACUUGAGGAGGAAGCCCCGGCUAACUACGUG